rnacentral:rRNA from 1 species
CCUACGGGUGGCUGCAGUCGAGAAUCAUUCACAAUGGGGGAAACCCUGAUGCUGCGACGCCGCGUGGGGGGAAUGAAGCCCUUCGGAUUGUAAACCCCUGUCAUGUGGGAGCAAAUUAAAAAGAUAGUACCACAAGAGGAAGAGACGGCUAACUCUGUGCCAGCAGCCGCGGUAAUACGGAGGUCUCAAGCGUUGUUCGGAAUCACUGGCCGUAAAGCGUGCGUAGGCUGUUUCGUAAGUCGUGUGUGAAAGGCGCGGGCUCAACCCGCGGACGGCAAAUGAUACUGGGAGACUAGAGUAAUGGUGGGGGAACCGGAAUUCGCGGUGUAGCAGUGAAAUGCGUAGAUAUCGAGAGGAACACUGGUGGCGAAGGCGGGUUCCUGGACAUCAACUGACGCUGAGGCACGAAGGCGAGGGGAGCGAAAGGGAUUAGAUACCCGGGUAGUC